rnacentral:SRP_RNA from 1 species
CCUCGCCAACCCGGUCAGGUCCGGAAGGAAGCAGCCGUAACGAGCCCCGCUUGGGUCGUUGUCCAGCCUCUCACCU